GAACUAAGCAUAUCAAUAAGCGGAGGAAAAGAAACCAACAGGGAUUGCCUCAGUAACGGCGAGUGAAGCGGCAACAGCUCAAAUUUGAAAUCUGGCCCUAGGCCCGAGUUGUAAUUUGCAGAGGAUGCUUUUGGCAAGGUGCCUUCCGAGUUCCCUGGAACGGGACGCCAUAGAGGGUGAGAGCCCCGUCUGGUCGGACACCGAGCCUCUGUAAAGCUCCUUCGACGAGUCGAGUAGUUUGGGAAUGCUGCUCAAAAUGGGAGGUAUAUGUCUUCUAAAGCUAAAUACCGGCCAGAGACCGAUAGCGCACAAGUAGAGUGAUCGAAAGAUGAAAAGCACUUUGAAAAGAGAGUUAAAUAGCACGUGAAAUUGUUGAAAGGGAAGCGUUUAUGACCAGACUUGGCCCGGUUGAUCAUCCAGCGUUCUCGCUGGUGCACUCUGCCGGUCCAGGCCAGCAUCAGUUCGUCGCGGGGGAUAAAGGUUUCGGGAAUGUGGCUCCUCCGGGAGUGUUAUAGCCCGUUGCGUAAUACCCUGCGGUGGACUGAGGUCCGCGCUUCUGCAAGGAUGCUGGCGUAAUGGUCAUCAACGACCCGUCUUGAAACACGGACCAAGGAGUCGUCUUCGUAUGCGAGUGUUCGGGUGUAAAACCCCUACGCGUAAUGAAAGUGAACGCAGGUGAGAGCUUCGGCGCAUCAUCGACCGAUCCUGAUGUUCUCGGAUGGAUUUGAGUAAGAGCAUACGGGGCCGGACCCGAAAGAAGGUGAACUAUGCCUGUAUAGGGUGAAGCCAGAGGAAACUCUGGUGGAGGCUCGCAGCGGUUCUGACGUGCAAAUCGAUCGUCAAAUAUGGGCAUGGGGGCGAAAGACUAAUCGAACCUUCUAGUAGCUGGUUUCCGCCGAAGUUUCCCC
rnacentral:rRNA from 1 species